GGUCAUUUAUUACAUAAGACUGGGAAGAAUCCACUUGAAUGGCCCUCCAACUGGUAAUUACUAGUGGUCAUUUAUUACAUAACACUGGGAAGAAUCCACUUGAAUGGCCUUCCAACUGGUAAUUACUAGUGGUCAUUUAUUACAUAACACUGGGAAGAAUCCACUUGAAUGGCCUUCCAACUGGUAAUUACUAGUGGUCAUUUAUUACAUAACAAUAGGGAAGAAUCCACUUGAAUGGCCUUCCAACUGGUAAUUACUAGUGGUCAUUUAUUACAUAACACUGGGAAGAAUCCACUUGAAUGGCCUUCCAACUGGUAAUUACUAGUGGUCAUUUAUUACAUAAGACUGGGGAGAAUCCCCUUGAAUGGCCCUCCAACUGGUAAUUACUAGUGGUCAUUUAUUACAUAACACUGGGAAGAAUCCUCUUGAAUGGCCUUCCAACUGGUAAUUACUAGUGGUCAUUUAUUACAUAACACUGGGAAGAAUCCUCUUGAAUGGCCCUCCAACUGGUAAUUACUAGUGGUCAUUUAUUACAUAACACUGGGAAGAAUCCACUUGAAUGGCCUUCCAACUGGUAUUUACUAGUGGUCAUUUAUUACAUAACACUGGGGAGAAUCCCCUUGAAUGGCCCUCCAACUGGUAAUUACUAGUGGUCAUUUAUUACAUAACACUGGGAAGAAUCCACUUGAAUGGCCUUCCAACUGGUAAUUACUAGUGGUCAUUUAUUACAUAACACUGGGAAGAAUCCACUUGAAUGGCCCUCCAACUGGUAAUUACUAGUGGUAAUUUAUUACAUAACACUGGGAAGAAUCCACUUGAAUGGCCUUCCAACUGGUAAUUACUAGUGGUCAUUUAUUACAUAACACUGGGAAGAAUCCUCUUGAAUGGCCUUCCAACUGGUAAUUACUAGUGGUCAUUUAUUACAUAACACUGGGAAGAAUCCACUUGAAUGGCCCUCCAACUGGUAAUUACUAGUGGUCAUUUAUUACAUAACACUGGGGAGAAUCCACUUGAAUGGCCUUCCAACUGGUAAUUACUAGUGGUCAUUUAUUACAUAAGACUGGGGAGAAUCCCCUUGAAUGGCCCUCCAACUGGUAAUUACUAGUGGUCAUUUAUUACAUAACACUGGGAAGAAUCCACUUGAAUGGCCUUCCAACUGGUAAUUACUAGUGGUCAUUUAUUACAUAACACUGGGAAGAAUCCUCUUGAAUGGCCUUCCAACUGGUAAUUACUAGUGGUCAUUUAUUACAUAACACUGGGAAGAAUCCACUUGAAUGGCCCUCCAACUGGUAAUUACUAGUGGUCAUUUAUUACAUAACACUGGGAAGAAUCCACUUGAAUGGCCUUCCAACUGGUAAUUACUAGUGGUCAUUUAUUACAUAACACUGGGAAGAAUCCACUUGAAUGGCCUUCCAACUGGUAAUUACUAGUGGUCAUUUAUUACAUAACACUGGGGAGAAUCCACUUGAAUGGCCUUCCAACUGGUAAUUACUAGUGGUCAUUUAUUACAUAACACUGGGAAGAAUCCACUUGAAUGGCCCUCCAACUGGUAAUUACUAGUGGUAAUUUAUUACAUAACAAUAGGGAGGAUCCACUUGAAUGGCCCUCCAACUGGUAAUUACUAGUGGGAAACUCAUCAUCCUGAGCUCCCACCUAUCACAUGGUGACCUCUGACGUCAGCUACUAAGGAAAUGGUUUUUAUAAAGGCAUUUUUGGCAGUUAAAUGCAACAACAAAAUAUUAUUUAUAAAAAGCAAUCUGUUUUUGAACUCUAUCAUUUGUUUACAAGCAUGAUAGCUGUACUUUUAGUUUAUGGUUGACGCCGUUGUUGGCCAUUAGCCAAUCGCCAUUUAUCAAUGAGUUGAAAUUACAUGAAUGCAUCCAACUAGUAUUUAAGACAACUGGUAAAUUCCUACCUCCCACAUGGUUACAAAUGCAGCAUCGGAGUGAAAACUUGAGACCCAACAUAACAAACCUUUCACAACAGACAUUCCCAGGAACAUUGUGAACGCUGAACAUUGUAAAUGCUGAACAUUGUGAAUGCUGAACAUUGUAAAUGCUGAACAUUGUGAACGCUGAACAUUGUAAAUGCUGAACAUUGUAAAUGCUGAACAUUGUGAACGCUGAACAUUGUAAACGCUGAACAUUGUGAACGCUGAACAUUGUGAAUGCUGAACAUUGUAAAUGCUGAACAUUGUAAACGCUGAACAUUGUGAAUGCGGAACUUGUAAACACUGAACAUUAUGAACGCUGAACAUUGUGAACGCUGAACAUUCUGAACGCUGAACAUUGUAAACGCUGAACAUUGUGAACGCUGAACAUUGUGAACGCUGAACAUUGUGAACGCUGAACGUUGUGAACGCUGAACGUUGUGAACGCUGAACAUUGUGAACGCUGAACAUUGUAAACGCUGAACAUUGUAAACGCUGAACAUUGUGAACGCUGAACGUUGUAAACGCUGAACAUUGUAAACGCUGAACAUUGUAAAUGUUGAACAUUGUAAAUGCUGAACAUUGUAACAGCAUUUUAUUUUUCUGCUGUACCGGAAAAAUCUAACCGUCACCCCAAAACAUAGCGAACCGUGGGUUUGGUGAACCGUUACACCCCUACUUACAAGGAACAAAUGCCUUUGUCACUGUUGUAGUACUAUAUGCAUUUCCACCUGUGGAUAGGUACUGAGGUUUGAGCUGGGGUACAAUUAUUUAUCUAUAAUGUUGUGUGCUCUAUCCCCUCGAGUUCUGGUCAGGUGGAGAUUUACCUCUUUGGAGUUCUUUGGGAAAUAAAGGGCUUUUGCGACUUUAUGAAUAAUUUCCAGAUGCCGGGCAAUUGUUGAUUGUGGUUUCUCACAAAAGAGACAGUAAUGUUUUUUGGUGUUUCUUCUUGAACCAUCUUUAGUCUUUGUAAUAUGUAUGACUUCCAGUGAACUUGUGUAUUCUGGCCCAGAGGUGUCAGAUUCAGUAUUUCUAUGUCUCUUUUAGGUAUUGUUUGGGUAAUCUUUAGUCUUUGUAAUGUACAUGACUUCCCCUGAACUUGUGGAUUCUUGCCCAGAGGUGUCAGAUUCAGUACUUCUAUGUCUCUUAUAGGUAUUGUUUGGGUAAUCUUUAGUCUUUGUAAUGUGCAUGACUUCCCCUGAACUUGUGGAUUCUGGCCCAGAGGUGUCAGAUUCAGUAUUUCUACGUCUCUUAUAGGUAUCGUUUGGGCCGUCUUUAGGAGCAGAUCUUUGAUGGGGCCUUUGUUCUUCAAUACAGUGCAGCGCUCUAUGCUGCUCUCGUUGUCACUUUCUCUUCCUGAAUCAUUUUAAUCUGAUGUUAUUUCUAUGCUGCUGAUUGAGUUGUCAGAAUCAGAUCCAAGAACUUGUUUGUUUUUAUGAUUUCAGCUCAACAAUCAGAAUUCACACAUUUGUUUUACUGAAUACAUUGUCUGAUCACUGAAAACCUGAACUGUUUUUACUCCAACAUAUCAACACUUAUUUAUUAAACCAAUUGUCAGAACUGUACAAUUAUGUCCUGAUUAUUCUGAAAAAGUGUUAUUUCAUACAAUCAAUAAAACAAUAUGUUAAUCAUG